UGCAGUCGCGCAGUAUAGCAGGGCGGCCUUGGGGCUCUGAGGCCCAACCGGCGAAAGAAGUAGACUCGGCCCUAACCAUCUCGACGCUACAAUUUUUGUUUCUGGAUCUCUGAACUGGGGAGUGAGUGCUGUGGAGUGAGGGGGAAAUAAGAUAAACAUGAGACCUGGCCCAGUAGACGCGUUUUCAGUUCUUGCUGACCUGCGGUCUCCGCUUGGAGCGCUGGGGGAGAGGGCGGAGUCCCCCGGCAGAGGUGAAGCGAGAGCUGCUUUCUGGCAGCGUUUCCAGCCUGGAAGGAGUUGUGCUCUGUAAUGCUUUUCUGAAUUGCAUUCGGCGAAAGGAGUAGGAAACUGCGUUUAUUCCUUCACCAGAUUUGAGGGCAUCUGCUGCGUGCCAGGCUGCCUGGCAUUGGGGGCUGUUUAUGAUUUUCUUUUCCUCUUUUUCUGAUUUCUUCCCCCCCACUGACGAAUAAGUAGAAAUAAGUGAGGAUUUAACUGUGAGCCUCUAGUAUGCAGAUGUAUGCUGAGCGGUAUUGGGGUUCAGCAGAUACUCUCCAAACACUUGAAAAUACUGUCUUGUAAUAAUUCUAUUAUGGGUCAAUCCAGAGUGGAUCAAACCAGAAAUGAACGUCUCUGGCCAGAGCAAACCUUACUGAGAGAAAUAAUAUAUCUAACUCAGGAAUUGAGCCAAGAAAACCCUGGGAAGUAAAUAUUUCUGAAGUGAAAAG
rnacentral:lncRNA from 1 species